GACGUAGGGCGCGAGCGUUGUCCGGAUUUAUUGGGCGUAAAGAGCUCGUAGGCGGCUUGUCGCGUCGACUGUGAAAACCCGUGGCUCAACCAUGUGGUCUGCAGUCGAUACGGGCAGGCUAGAAUUCGGUAGGGGAGACUGGAAUUCCUGGUGUAGCGGUGAAAUGCGCAGAUAUCAGGAGGAACAUCGGUGGCGAAGGCGGGUCUCUGGGCCGAUAUUGACGCUGAGGAGCGAAAGCGUGGGGAGCGAACAGG
rnacentral:rRNA from 1 species